UGCUCUGUUGGGCAAUAUGGUUGACUAGGAAUGAUGUGGUGUUUAAGAAGUCCAAACUAACUCUCUUAUGCAUAUUGGACAUGUUGGUUGCUGCCGUCUAAAGAGGAAGACAAGAUCACCUUGAAUGAGAAUUGUCGGAAACUGGAGAUUGCAAUCAUGAAGAUUUUCAACAAGUUUGGGUGGAAUAGGAUCAGUGCCUAGUUUCUGCUACUUUUGAACUAUAUUUAUGUUGCCUUCUGGCUUUCGGUGGUCUAACUACUGCUUUUAUGUUCUUUGGGCUGUAAUCAUUCACUUAUGAACACACUACUAGGGAAAGGACCUUUCGUCCAGCAUAUUAGUGCGGGUUGCAAUUGGGUUCGGUACUUGUGGCAGAACCACCCAAGUUAAUCCAACUAAAGUGUACUCAACCUCGCCUCAAUUGCGAAUGGUCACUUUAAUCGAAUUAAAAUGGUAGUCUGUCGGGUUUCACCCGAUAAACCACUUGUCUCGGAUCGAAACAAAGCAUACUCAUACGAAUGCGAGUCCAAAGAUUACAACAAUCCAGAUAAUUAUUACAGGUCCC
rnacentral:lncRNA from 1 species